rnacentral:rRNA from 1 species
UACGGAGGGGGCUAGCGUUGUUCGGAAUCACUGGGCGUAAAGGGUGCGUAGGCGGGUCUUUAAGUCAGGGGUGAAAUCCUGGAGCUCAACUCCAGAACUGCCUUUGAUACUGAGGAUCUUGAGUUCGGGAGGGGUGAGUGGAACUGCGAGUGUAGAGGUGAAAUUCGUAGAUAUUCGCAAGAACACCAGUGGCGAAGGCGGCUCACUGGCCCGAUACUGACGCUGAGGCACGAAAGCGUGGGGAGCAAACAGG